rnacentral:rRNA from 1 species
CCUACGGGAGGCAGCAGUGAGGAAUAUUGGUCAAUGGGCGCGAGCCUGAACCAGCCAAGUCGCGUGAGGGAAGACGGUCCUAUGGAUUGUAAACCUCUUUUGUCGGGGAGCAAAAGACGCCACGCGUGGCGUUCCGAGAGUACCCUAAGAACAAGCAUCGGCUAACUCCGUGCCAGCAGCCGCGGUAAUACGGAGGAUGCGAGCGUUAUCCGGAUUUAUUGGGUUAAAAGGGUGCGCAGGCGGAAGAUCAAGUCAGCGGUAAAAUUGAGAGGCUCAACCUCUUCGAGCCGUUGAAACUGGUUGUCUUGAGUGAGUGAGAAGUAGGCGGAAUGCGUGGUGUAGCGGUGAAAUGCAUAGAGAUCACGCAGAACACCGAUUGCGAAGGCAGCAUACCGGCGCUCAACUGACGCUCAUGCACGAAAGUGUGGGUAUCGAACAGGAUUAGAUACCCUUGUAGUC